UUCCCGUAGCGGCGAGUGAGCGGCAAGAGCUCAGAUUUGAAAUCGUGUUUCGGCACGAGUUGUGAGUAGGCGGGAGUCUCUGUGGAGCGCGGUGUCCAAGUCCCUUGGAACAGGGUGCCUGAGAGGGUGAGAGCCCCGUAGGGUGCUGCGCGAAGCUUUUGAGGCCCUGCUGACGAGUCGAGUUGUUUGGGAAUGCAGCUCCAAGCGGGUGGUAAAUUCCAUCUAAGGCUAAAUAUUGGCGAGAGACCGAUAGCGAACAAGUACUGUGAAGGAAAGAUGAAAAGCACUUUGAAAAGAGAGUGAAACAGCACGUGAAAUUGUUGAAAGGGAAGGGUAUUGGGCUCGACAUGGGGGGUGCGCACCGCUGUCUCUUGUNNGCGGCGCUCUGGGCGCCCUCUGGGCCANCAUCGGUUCCUGCUGCGGGAGGGGGCUCCGGAGUGGNUCUUAUGAGUGUUAU
rnacentral:rRNA from 1 species